GAAAGAUGGCUUUGGCUAUCACUCUGGGAUGGACCUGCGGUGCAUUAGCUAGUUGGUAAGGUAACGGCUUACCAAGGCGAUGAUGCAUAGCCGAGUUGAGAGACUGAUCGGCCACAAUGGAACUGAGACACGGUCCAUACUCCUACGGGAGGCAGCAGUAGGGAAUCUUCCACAAUGGGCGCAAGCCUGAUGGAGCAACACCGCGUGAGUGAAGAAGGGUUUCGGCUCGUAAAGCUCUGUUGUUGGAGAAGAACGUGCGUGAGAGUAACUGUUCACGCAGUGACGGUAUCCAACCAGAAAGUCACGGCUAACUACGUGCCAGCAGCCGCGGUAAUACGUAGGUGGCAAGCGUUAUCCGGAUUUAUUGGGCGUAAAGCGAGCGCAGGCGGUUGCUUAGGUCUGAUGUGAAAGCCUUCGGCUUAACCGAAGAAGUGCAUCGGAAACCGGGCGACUUGAGUGCAGAAGAGGACAGCGGAACUCCAUGUGUAGCGGUGGAAUGCGUAGAUAUAUGGAAGAACACCAGUGGCGAAGGCGGCUGUCUGGUCUGCAACUGACGCUGAGGCUCGAAAGCAUGGGUAGCGAACAGGAUUAGAUACCCUGGUAGUCCAUGCCGUAAACGAUGAGUGCUAGGUGUUGGAGGGUUUCCGCCCUUCA
rnacentral:rRNA from 1 species